AUGCACGCUGGCGGCGUGCCUCAUACAUGCAAGUCGCGCGAACGGACGAGCAGCUUGCUUCUCUGAUGUUCGCGGCGGACGGGUGAGUAACACGUGGAUAACCUACCUAUAAGACUGGGAUAACUUCGGGAAACCGGAGCUAAUACCGGAUAAUAUUUUGAACCGCAUGGUUCAAAAGUGAAAGACGGUCUUGCUGUCACUUAUAGAUGGAUCCGCGCUGCAUUAGCUAGUUGGUAAGGUAACGGCUUACCAAGGCAACGAUGCAUAGCCGACCUGAGAGGGUGAUCGGCCACACUGGAACUGAGACACGGUCCAGACUCCUACGGGAGGCAGCAGUAGGGAAUCUUCCGCAAUGGGCGAAAGCCUGACGGAGCAACGCCGCGUGAGUGAUGAAGGUCUUCGGAUCGUAAAACUCUGUUAUUAGGGAAGAACAUAUGUGUAAGUAACUAUGCACAUCUUGACGGUACCUAAUCAGAAAGCCACGGCUAACUACGUG
rnacentral:rRNA from 1 species